rnacentral:rRNA from 1 species
GAGUAAUGCAUAGGAAUCUGCCCCGAACUGGGGAAUAGCUUCGGGAAACCGAAGGUAAUACCCCAUAGUCCUCACUUUUUGUGAGGUAAAGGAUGUAACUGUUCGGUUUGGGAUGAGCCUAUGUCCUAUCAGGUAGUUGGUGAGGUAACGGCUCACCAAGCCUAUGACGGGUAGCUGGCCUCAUGAGGGUGGUCAGCCAGAGGGGGACUGAGACACGGCCCCCACUCCUACGGGAGGCAGCAAUUAGGAAUAGUCGGCAAUGGGCGAAAGCCUGACCGCGCAAUGCCGCGUGUAGGAAGACGCUCUAACGAGUGUAAACUACUGUGGCGAGGGAAGAAGUCUUCGGAUUGACGGUACCUCGCUAGAAAGGGGCCGCUAACUGCGUGCCAGAAGCGUCGGUAAGACGUGGGCCCCGAGCGUUAUCCGGUGUUACUGGGCGUAAAGAGUCGUGUAGGCGGUUCGAAAAGUUACCUUUUAAAUCCCAAUGCUCAACAUUGGAACUGGAGGUAAUACUCUCGAACUAGAGUUUUCUACAGGGUGAAUGGAACUGUGGGAGGAGUAGUGAAAUGCGUUGAUCCCCACGGGAACACCAGUGGCGAAGGCGGUUCACUGGUAGAAGACUGACGCUGAGACACGAAAGCUAGGGUAUCGAA